UCAUAGGUCCUGCCCACACUCAUGGGUGAACACCAGAAAGCAGGACUCAUUGGAGGCUAUAUGUCAUCAUGAACCAUCCCAGCUGCUCUUCAACCAUUUUUAGUCAAGUUUGAAGAGAUGGAAUGGAGGGCAGAUAUGUAACACGUGGAACUCAGUGAAGCCCUUUUUAAAAAUCCCUGCCUCUCAAAAACUUCCAGUGAAAGGUAAAUUGAUGCAACCUCUUUGGUUGUAUCAAUAAGGUGGCAAUAUCAUUCAAAACUUGUGUGUUUUUAUAUAGCAUUUUCCUUUGGGCAAUUAAUUCUACAAAUACACUUAUAAAAGCACACAAAAAUAUGCAUAUGUUUGCUGAAGUAUUAUUUGAAAAAACAAGACUAAAAAAAUAACAAGUAUCCAUCAAUAUGGGAAUGGUUAUAUCCAUAAUAGCAUAUUAUUUGAUAUCUGUGCAGCUGGUAGAAGAAUGAAGUAGACCCAUGUGUAGGGAAUGGAAUGAUAGCCAAAAUACAUUGCUAAAUGAAUAAAAAGCAAAUUCAGAAUAGUAAAUAUAUUAUAUGAUUUUAUUUGUGACUUAAAAUAAUGUAUGCUUGCAUAUGAAUUUUAAGUCUAUCAAUUAAGGCAUCUGGCUGGCUUAGUCGGUAAAGCGUGUGACUAUUGAUCUCAGGGUUGUGAGUUCACGCCCAACCAUUGGUUGUAGAAAUUAUUUUUUUAAAAAAUCUAAAAAGUCUAUUAAAAUAUAUGAGAGACUUAUUAAUGGUUACUCCUGGAGAAUGGGAUGGCGGGGGCUAGGAGAAAAGAGAGUAAAAUUUUUAAACUUUAUAUGCUGUUUUGAUUUUAUAAUUAAAACGUUCAGUUAUAGCCAACCUAUUAAUUCUUAGCUUCCUAUGGUGCAUAGAUUUUAGGGCUUAGUGAUCAUUUUUGACACAGAAUAACCAUUACAGUAAAAAUUCUCCAGCUGCCCCUUGACGCUGCCUGUGGAGGUGGCAGUCAUCUCCUACUUGGCAUGACGGCUGCCCUCAGACCUCUGGUGAAGCCCAAGAUUGUUAAAAAGACCAGUAUGUCAAAAUCAGUGCAACUGGUGGAACUGCAGAGGCACUGACAAUAGGGUACAACAGAAGAUUCAAGGAACAGAUCUUGAUGCCCACCAACAUUGCUUACAGGAGCAACAAGAAAACAAAGUGCACACUGCCCAGUAGCUUCUGGAAGUUCCUAGUCCACAACGUCAAGGAGCUUGAAGUGCUGCUGAUGUGCAACAGAUCUUACUGUGCCGAGAUUGCUCAUAAUGUCUCUUCCAAGAACCACAAAGCCACCGUGGAAAGAGCAGCCUGGCUGGCCAUCACAGUCACCAAUCCCAAUGCCAGGCUGUGCAGCAAAGAAAAUGAAUAGACAGCUUAUGUGCAUGUCAUAUUUGGGUUAAUAAAACCAUAAGACUACAAAUAAAAAUAAAAAUCUUCCAAAGAGUUCUUUAUGGCUGAGUAAAGAGCUAUGGUUGACCUUAAUUGGGGUUCACAGAACCAACUUCAGCUUUGUGGACAUAAAUUCAAAGUUCAACACAUUGAGAAAACUGGAUAAAAUUUCCUGGGAUUAUAAAAAUCAAUGUGUUUAGCCUUCAGACUGUUGAUGGGGUUGAUCUUGACUACCCACAGACUUCCACUUGACACUUACCUGCACACAUCUUUUAAGGAAUGCAUUUUAGUUCGUAUCUUUUCAGCAAGAUUUUCCAUGCAUGAGACUUAAAAAUCAUGACAAACUUUGUAUCAUAUUUUACAAGGUCAGGGACAAGUGAAGAAGAAAAGAUGCUCCCAUAUUGUGCAAGUGUCCUGUUGCUAAAGAAGAGACUGCUCAGGGCUGACUUACACACAGUGGUGGAUUCUGAUAUUAGGUUUUCAAAUCCUGAUAAUUGGAGCCAUUCAAUCAGUCUCUCUCUGAUCCUGAAGAAACAGAACCUGAGACAAGAAGCAAGAAGAUGACAAAACAUCAAGGCAAGAAAACACAUUGAUAGAUACAAUUGGCAGUAGACUUAAACGGGUUCUCUUCAGGCAAGGCCUUAACCAAGAAUGUUAAAUGUGCCUAAAUUUCAUUUGGAAGAUCAAUUUCCAGGCCACCUACCUUGUCCAUGACUUCCUGUUGCUAAGAUGAUGAUGUCUGAAAUUACUAAUCUAACAAAAUUUUGCAGGGCUAAAAAGUUUUAGCAAUUUGCCUUUCUUUCUGCAAUGCAGGAAAAAAAAAAGUUGUGGAGUGUGCAGUGUUAAUUUAAAUGCCUCAUAUGGUUCCUCUUCACUCUGGAAUAGUAUUUUGUGCUUGCAGAUGUAGAGAAAACUACAUUUUCUUGGCAAUAAGGUGGCAGGUCUAUACCAGAAGCCAAUAGAUAUACCAAGCAAAUGGAUAAUUCAUCUUGCUGUGACUAUAACCAGGUCGACUUUAGGGAAAUAAUCCAAACUUGAAAUUCAGAAAUAAGAGAUCUUCACCAAAGCAUACUUUUGAGGUUAGCCCCCAAACUUUUGAGGACUUCCAUUUACAACUAAAUGCUAAGGUACAAUAACUGUUUAAAAAGAUCAGCAGAUGAGUUAGAAGUAACAGAAAUUAAGAGAAAAGUAAAGUAGUAAUAUAACAAUAAUUAUACCUUUGCUUGCCUAACUCACUUAUUGCCAAGCAAUUUGUCUUCAGUUAUAAGAAUGUAACUUUCUUUUUUAAAAAAAGAUUUUAUUUAUUUAUUCAUGAGAGACACACAGAGAGAGGCAGAGACACAGGCAGAGGGAGAAGUAGGCUCCCUGCGGGGAGCCCAAUGCGGACUGGAUCCUGGGACCCCAGCAUCACACCCCGAGCCAAAGAAAAGCAGAUGCUCAACCACUGAGCCACCCAGGUGUCCUAGAAUGUAACUUUCUGAAAAAAGUUUGUGUUCACCAAGUGAAUAGGUUCUAAGCAUGUUUGGUAAUUUAAUUUCAAAUAAGGCGUUGGUAUAAUUGGGGGUUUUAAGGCACUAGCCUCCAAUUUUCAGAUCCAAGUAUCCAGAAAUAAAUUAUCUUGGUAACUAACUUGAAGUUCAAGUGCAAUUGGUCCUAAUUAUUGGAAUGGUAUGGGUGAAAGUAUAUUUUUGAACUCAGUUCUCCAGAUAACUUGCACAUAAAUACCCAACGAAAGUCCACAGGGUUGGGUUACCUCUUCAAAUUCAUUUUGGUAUAGAAUAUUUUCUCCUUUGAACCACUAAUCAGUUUUAUUUUGUUCAGUUUCUACAAUACAUGUCUAUUUGCCUCAAUGUCUUAGCAUCAUAGUACCCUCUCAUCAGAAUAUUGGUUAGAUUCCCUAGUGUGAAUCACUUAUCCAGUUGCUUGUCUGAUUUAUUCACAUGUUUUUGAGAUUUGUGAAAUGUGGCAGAUAAACAGGUUUAUGCUGUGUGCAGCUUGGAGGGCAGCCAAUGUCUGUCUGCCUAUACAGUAUAUUUACUCUCCUUCCUCAAAUCUCUUUCCCAUACAAAGAAGCUGUACUUUACGACUCAAAUCAGUGUAGAAUGCAUCUAGUAAUGUCACUGCAGAAAACAGCAGGUGCUCAUCUACUCAUUUGCGGUGAUUCUAGCAGUGAAGAAAGUAAAUCAAUGAUUCACCCAAUGGACAAAGAAACGUCACAGCGAAUAUUUGGAAAAGUCAAAUGCGAUAAAAGAACCUUUAGAUUCUCAUCUAAAGGUGUGCUCUGAUUUUAGAAAAGCAAACCUCCCACAAGAAAAUCAAGAAUUUUGUUGAAGUGCUCUGGUUGUGCCUGCAGUAAGCAAUGACAUAUUCCCUCUCUCCCUACUUCUACUGUUUUAUUGCUUUUGUGUUGUACUUCUAAAAUAAAUAUCAAUAAAUCAUU